AACGAACGCUGGCGGCAGGCUUAACACAUGCAAGUCGAGCGCCCCGCAAGGGGAGCGGCAGACGGGUGAGUAACGCGUGGGAACGUACCCUUUGCUACGGAAUAGCUCCGGGAAACUGGAAUUAAUACCGUAUGUGCCCUACGGGGGAAAGAUUUAUCGGCAAAGGAUCGGCCCGCGUUGGAUUAGCUAGUUGGUGGGGUAAUGGCCUACCAAGGCGACGAUCCAUAGCUGGUCUGAGAGGAUGAUCAGCCACAUUGGGACUGAGACACGGCCCAAACGCCUACGGGAGGCAGCAGUGGGGAAUAUUGGACAAUGGGCGCAAGCCUGAUCCAGCCAUGCCGCGUGAGUGAUGAAGGCCUUAGGAUUGUAAAGCUCUUUCACCGGAGAAGAUAAUGACGGUAUCCGGAGAAGAAGCCCCGGCUAACUUCGUGCCAGCAGCCGCCGUAAUAC
rnacentral:rRNA from 1 species